rnacentral:misc_RNA from 1 species
CGAAAACACCCGUAAGCAUGUGACUGUUUUCAGAUUUCUUUGUAACUGUAUAGUUGGUCAGUUAUUCUACUGUAAUAGAAAACGUUUCUUUUUUUUUUAAUAUAUUCUCAUCACAUGUGAUUAUUGGAAUAGAAUUCGCCAAGAGGUCGUUCGAGUCACCUCAUAUUCUACUUAUUUUACAGUUCCAGCUCAGCUUAGAGAUGAAAGUAACAAUAAAAAGUUGGACAGGAGUCGCUACCUGGCGGUGGAUUGCGAAUGACGACAACUGCGGCAUAUGUAGGAUGCCGUUUGACGCCAGCUGUCCGGAUUGCAAGAUUCCUGGGGACGACUGUCCAUUAGUGUGGGGGCAGUGCUCGCAUUGUUUCCACAUACACUGCAUCAUGAAGUGGCUGCACUCGCAGCAGACCAACCACAUGUGCCCGAUGUGUCGCCAGGAGUGGAAGUUCAAGGAGUAACCGUCGCCGCUUACCCCGCGGGCCCGCAGGUGUCAGCACGCAGCGAGUGAUCAGAGGGUUCCUCGGCGCAGACGGGAUCGCCGAAUUGUUUUGUGCGUUAGAAAGUGUGGUCUUCGUUGUGCGGCAUUUCGUUGUGCACUGAAACGUGGAAGACGCGAUGUGACGUCAAGCGAGACUCGGGAAGUGAACUGUUGAAGACUCGGGUGACGCGAGGACGAAGUGGCUCGGAUCGAGAGAAGGAUGUCGGAUUUCUCUCGUUCGGAGUAACGAUACGCGGGUUUAAGUCCCGUGGAGUUUUCCAACGACAAAGUCGGGUUUUUUUUCCGCUCCCUCCUUUGUCCGUCGUAACGGAAAUCGUAAAGAGAUUUCAUUGUCCCGUGGAAGUUUGUAUGAUUAAAAAAAAAAAGGAUUUGAUUCUGCCUGAAAAGAAGAGGAGGGUGAAAAGGGGAAACGCGGAGGUCCCGGAGUGUCACGCUAGACCACGGCUAGGACACGUCUCAGGUAUUUGGUGGGCGAUGCGAUAGAAAGUUUUCCCUAUCGCGGGACACGCGAUAAGGCAGGUUCGUUCACAAAGAACCAGUGGGUUUGCCGGGUCUACUUCAACGCUUCCAUACUUCUUCGUGGAAGGAAAGCGCGAGCGAUCGAGAUAGAAAGGCGACUAUCGAGGCCGUAACGUCAUCAACGGGGAUCAGCCUCAAUGACAACCUAGACAGAGAGAAAGAGGAAUGGAACGCGCACGAAGGAAAUAUCUACAUUGAAGAGUCGGCGAGGCCGAGGAAUUACCUUUGCGACGGGUGGUCCCCGCGUUGGUUGCCGCGGGAAUCAAAGAAUCCCAGGACGAAGGCGGAUUUGGGAAAUCGAAGGCGCGCGCGAGGCCUAUUAGCGAGCGGGCGCACGUACGGACCAGAAUUGUAUGCAAAAUCGCGUCGGCGAUAUCGCGUGGCAUCGGCGGCGCGAUCGCGCGACCCGCUUACGGGAAUAAAGAGGACUCGAGGUGGACUCGAGGGGGAA